rnacentral:rRNA from 1 species
CCUACGGGAGGCAGCAGUGGGGAAUAUUGCACAAUGGGGGAAACCCUGAUGCAGCGACGCCGCGUGAGUGAAGAAGGAUUUCGGUAUGUAAAGCUCUGUCAGCAGGGAAGAAAAUGAAGGUACCUGACCAAGAAUCCCCGGCUAACUACGUGCCAGCAGCCGCGGUAAUACGUAGGGGGCAAGCGUUAUCCGGAUUUACUGGGUGGAAAGGGAGUGUAGACGGCAGGGCAAGUAUGGAGUGAAAGGCGGGGGCUCAACCCCCGGACUGCUCUGGAAACUGCCAGGCUGGAGUGCAGGAGAGGAAAGUGGAAUUCCUAGUGUAGCGGUGAAAUGCGUAGAUAUUAGGAGGAACACCAGUGGCGAAGGCGGCUUACUGGAGUGUAACUGACGUUGAGGCGCGAAAGCGUGGGGAGCAAACAGGAUUAGAUACCCUGGUAGUC